rnacentral:rRNA from 1 species
GAUGAACGCUGGCGGCGUGCUUAACACAUGCAAGUCGAACGAAGCAUUUAAGACAGAUUACUUCGGUUUGAAGUCUUUUAUGACUGAGUGGCGGACGGGUGAGUAACGCGUGGGUAACCUGCCUCAUACAGGGGGAUAGCAGCUGGAAACGGCUGGUAAUACCGCAUAAGCGCACAGUACCACAUGGUACAGUGUGAAAAACUCCGGUGGUAUGAGAUGGACCCGCGUCUGAUUAGCUUGUUGGCGGGGUAACGGCCCACCAAGGCGACGAUCAGUAGCCGACCUGAGAGGGUGACCGGCCACAUUGGGACUGAGACACGGCCCAGACUCCUACGGGAGGCAGCAGUGGGGAAUAUUGCACAAUGGAGGAAACUCUGAUGCAGCGACGCCGCGUGAGUGAAGAAGUAGUUCGCUAUGUAAAGCUCUAUCAGCAGGGAAGA